UACGGGGGGAGCAAGCGUUGUUCGGAUUUACUGGGCGUAAAGGGCGCGUAGGCGGUUCGAUAAGUCCCGUGUGAAAGUCACAGGCUCAACCUGUGAAUGCCGCUGGAAACUGUCUGGCUAGAGUCCGGAAGGGGCGAGUGGAAUUCCUGGUGUAGCGGUGAAAUGCGCAGAUAUCAAGAGGAACACCAGUGGCGAAGGCGAGUCCCUGGACGAAACCUGACACUGAGGCACGAAAGCCAAGGGAGCAAACAGG
rnacentral:rRNA from 1 species